rnacentral:rRNA from 1 species
CAUUCACGGAGAGUUUGAUCCUGGCUCAGGACGAACGCUGGCGGCGUGCUUAACACAUGCAAGUCGAACGAUGAACCACCUUCGGGUGGGGAGUUAGUGGCGAACGGGUGAGUAACACGUGGGCAAUCUGCCCUGCACUCUGGGACAAGCCCUGGAAACGGGGUCUAAUACCGGAUACUGAACCGUCUGGGCAUCCAGGCGGUUCGAAAGCUCCGGCGGUGCAGGAUGAGCCCGCGGCCUAUCAGCUUGUUGGUGAGGUAACGGCUCACCAAGGCGACGACGGGUAGCCGGCCUGAGAGGGCGACCGGCCACACUGGGACUGAGACACGGCCCAGACUCCUACGGGAGGCAGCAGUGGGGAAUAUUGCACAAUGGGCGAAAGCCUGAUGCAGCGACGCCGCGUGAGGGAUGACGGCCUGGGUUGUAAACCUCUUUCAGCAGGGAAGAAGCGAAAGUGACGGUACCUGCAGAAGAAGCGCCGGCUAACUACGUGCCAG